rnacentral:lncRNA from 1 species
UAUAAAGUCCCUAGCAGAAAAUACAAGUCCUCCACCAUUGCCUGCAUCCCCUACAGUCGUGUUCUAUUCUAACGCAAUUGACUGUGUGCUUUCCCUGAACUCAUUCUAUGCUUUCAUCCCUUCUUGUCUUUUUUGUACCAAAUCUUCUCAAAAUUCCUUUCUCUUCUUUUUUCACCUCAACGCCUAUUCCCACCUCAAGGCCCAGCUCAAAUGUUACCACUUCUGUUAAGUCUCCUCUCGCAUGAUUCCUGGCGGAGUCUUUCGUUGCUUUCUUUGUGCAUCUGCAGCGUGGUCUUCAUGUUUGUCUAACAGCGAGUGCACCACAUUGUUUUUCAGCUGCCCUCUUACUAGACUGUGAAUGUUGAGAGCAAGAACAGUUAGCAAAUCAGCACAUUUAUUGAGAAAAAUCCUCCUAUUUGUGAGGCAUUGUGCUGGGGAUCAGAGCAGCAGCAGGGAAUGACUGAGGCUGGCGUCCAACAGCAUCUGUUGGGGUAGACAGAUGUGCAGCAAAUUAAUUUAGCAAGUAGUCGUUUAAAUACAUUUGUGAUAAGUGGGACAAAGGAAAAACAUGGGAUGCUAUGAGAACAAGGAACAGGGAAAUCCACCUGCACCUGAUGGGGCUGAGACAGCUUCCCUGGAGAAAAGACCUUUAAACCAAGAAAGAGAAGAGUUAACCAGGUGAAGAAUGCGGCGAGGAGAGAUACCAGGCAGAAGGAAUAACGCGUGAGGACGCCCUGCCAUAAGAAAGCCUGAAAUCCUGGAAGACCUGAAAUAAAACAAACAAACUUGAAUACAGACACAACAUGGGCGUGAGGCAUGGUGAGGAAAGGGAAGAUGGCUGUCAGAUGACGCUCUGGAUACCAGUUAGUGACUACAGAAUCGAUUUAUGAAAGAAGGAGCUCCCUCCUUAACAUGAAGAGGAACAAUUUGCUCUGGGAAUAAAGAAGGAUGAUUUCCCUGCAGUUGGAGACGGACAGCGUCAGCAAAGAGUGCUGGAGUCCCAGAAACGGCUGGGAACUGGGAUGGCUUGUCUUGGGGAAGCUUCUCUCACUGCCCUCCUGCAGCCCAGCAUCCUGAGGACCCUGCUUGCCGUCCCAGGGAGGCUGUUUCUCAGAGCAUGGGAAAAGGAUUUCCUCGCUCAGGAGGGGAGCUUCUUCCCCAGACAGCUUCUGUCUGAGUCUGCCCCUGGCUGUGAAUGUCAGCAGAGCAGUGGGACCAGGCCACCUUGACCUGCACGCCAGCAUCACUGUCUCCAGAAGAACCGCCCUGCAUGUGCAUAUCAGCUUAUGCUAUGGCCCUGGGGAAAGAGAGAGGAGAAGAAAAACCCUGUGGUUGACGGGUCCUGAGGCUGAUGGUGGAGGUAGACCUGAGACGCCUCAUUUGCAUGUUCUCUACUUAGAAAAGGCUUGGAAGGACAUUGAAGUACACGGUUAUUUGUCAUCACAGAAUAGAGGUUGGCAAACCAUGACCUGUGGGCCAAAUCUGGCCUGCAGCCUACUUUGGUUCAUACAAUAGAAGUGUCAAUGAGGAAGAUUUAUCAUUUUCUCUCUGUUGGACGAACCGUGACCCUACAUGAUGAUCACUUCACAAAGAGAUCAAGUUAAACACUGCAUACUAUGUGUCCUUCACCGCUCAGAGCAUGGAAAAUGUGUGGCUUGGUAUAUAAAUUAAGGUAACCCUAAGUGCUGUUAAUGACUCUAAAAUUUCUGAGGCUUGACACAAGAGAAGUUUAUUUCUUGCCCAGGCACAGUCUAAUUGGCUAUGGGAAUAGGACUACUCUGCUCCACACAGUUAUUCAGGUACCUAGGCUGAGAGAGGUUCUGCUGUGUUCAACAUGUAACUUCCCAAGUCAUCCUGGAUGUCGCCAUCCCACUGGAAGGUGGAGGAAGAGGGAGAAUGGUGAGUCAUCCCUGGGGAGCUUUUAUGGGCCAAGCCAGGAAGUGAUGCCCAUGAUCCCUCCCAUGUCAUUGGCUAGAGCUCAGUCACAUAGUCACACCUAACUGCAAGGAAGGCUGGGUAAUGUAGCCCAACUGUGGGCCCAGGAAGAAGAGGGAAUGGGUUCUGGCAACCACAAAGCAGUCUUGGCCACCAGAGGAAAUUUUGUAUGAAACUGGAAAUCAGUGAUGCUAAAGAGACUUGAUGCUAGUGAGAGGGAAGCUAAUAUUGAAUGCCAUAUUCAGAGCAAAUACAAACUUGAUUAUUUAUAAGGUCAUACAGAACUACCUACCUAUCCCUGAUGUGGUGGAAAAUGCAUUGAUCUUGAAGACACGAAAGAUGCCCGCCAGCUCUGGGCCCAUGGCAAAUCAGUCCUCUGAACAUUACGUGCCUCCUCAGCCAAAUAGAGGAGCUGGAGCAGCUUCAGGAGUCUGCGAGUUCACAUACAGCGUCUAAGGACACGAGAGGACAGCAGUCGGACCAGGAAGGGACCCUCUCGUGACCACCACAUUCUCAUCACAAAAGAUUUUGAUCAUCAGUCAGACCUGGGAGAAUGGUGACCUUGAUCCUCACGAUCUACUGUGUGAGAAAGGCUAUGGAAACCUCUGUGAUAUUCAGCAAUGCUCAUGCCAGGAUACUCAAAGAUGAGUGACACAGAUGGUUCACUUGGGGGGAGACAGACAGGUAGACAGAAUUCAAAGUCAACACGAUAGGAGUUACGAAGGUGUUAUGCAUAGAAACUAACCUGGAGGGGGUCCAAGAAGGCUCCCUAGAGAAUGGGGCUUUCUCUAGGAGGCUGAAUCAUGAAGGCAUUAGUUGAGUGAGGUGUGCUUUCAGAGAAGAAGAAAGAAUGGCAGGGGGAGGUGUUCUAGGAAAAGAGCACAGCAUGAGGAAAGCUUGGAGCAUUGAAGAGCACAGUGUAUUUGAAGAGCUAGGGGAAUUUGGUGUUGCCAAAGGAUAAAGCGAGCGGAGAGGAGUUGGUGAAGUAGACAAGGGCCAUAAAGAGCCUCAUAACUCAUGUUAGGAAUCCAUCUUGUAUUCCACAGGCAAUGGAAGUCACCGAAUGGAUUUUUUUUCAGGAGUAACACGCCUGGAAUACAGCCACCUCUGUUCUACUACUGACCAAACUUGAGCCAUCUUUCUGGGCCCAGGUGAAAUUCACCUAUCUAUCACUCAGAGAAUAGUCAGUGUGCACCAUCCACAUACGCUGUGCUGGGCAGUAGGUACACGGAUGACUCAGGCCUGGUCCUGGCCCUCAGAGAGCUGGCUGUCCACUGGAAAAGGAGACAACACCACACGAACUGUAAGCCUCUUGAGGGGUUUCCCUAGUGCAUUGAAGGUGCCUGAUAGAUCUCUGAUGUCUGACUGCAAAUACAGCACCAGUGAAUCGUGUAGAAAAUACCUCAUCUCGCUGUGUUGUAGCUAAUUUAAAAGAAGAGGCACGGAGCAGUGGAAAAGCCCUUAACAUCAGGACAGCAGCUCUGCUCUUGCCCCCUCUCUACCCUGAACUCGUUAUGCGACUUUGGUCAAGUCCCUUCCCCUCUCUAUCUCUGACUCCUUUGCUAUGAAGUGACAGGACUGGAUUCAAUGACCUCUGGGGCCAAUUCCAGCUCUAACAGUCUGUGAUUCAGCUUGCCUAUAAAGUGGCCAGAGGAGGUUUAUUUGUGACCAGAACAAGCCAUUAAGAACUGAGACAAACUGCCAAAUACCGCUUAAAAGCAAAAUGGGAAUAAGAUUUUGUACAAAAUAUGCUUGGGUUGCAAGAGGCAAAUGUUUCUUUUGUGAGAGAGGAAGGCCAAAGGAUAUGAUUACUUGCUCCACCGCCGAGCUUCCUGGGCAGCUCCGGCUGAAUUAAGACACCUGUCACUCUCGUUCAAGGUCCACUUCCUACGAAGUUGUUGCACCUUUGAAUUAUUGUCGACUUGAAGUCCAAAAGGGGAAGUAUUUUGCAAUCUAGAGUUGGAUCCUGGAGCUAUACAGUCAUGAUUACUGAUGCAGAUUUUUCCAGAAACAUUCAUUGCACCGGGCCCUAGCAAGGAGCCUCACAUUUCUGCGUGACAUCUCAGGAGCUCACUCUGCUAGUGGUGAUGUGUUUCCAU